GAGAGCCAGGUCUGCCUUGGAGCAAUGGCUGCGUUCAGAGCUGGCGGAAAGGGCUUUUUUGGGGUCUGCUGAUGAUGCUCAGGACGACUUAGCAUGUUCUAGAGCCAGGCUGGCUGCCCUCCUGCACCCAGGGCUCUGGAUGCUUUCACACGAGGCGCCGUUUGGUUGCUGAGGGCCUUAUCCACGCUUUUUGCCCCUCCCACGCCGCAGCAGCAGUAGUUACUAUGAGGAGCUGGAGACGACUUAAGCAGAUAAGGUGUAAGAGAAAAGCCAAAGAGAACACCCGAUUUGAUCUCUACAGACAAGACUUUCUUGAGAGAAACAGCGAGAGACCUCAGCUUUCCCACAGGAUGAAGGCUGAAGCAUUAUAUGAUUUUGCUAGGGUGCAAAUUUAUAAGGAGAAUCCUAAGAAAAACAGACUGGACCAGGGAAGGCUAUUAACCCUUCAAGGUGUUUGCCUGGGAAGCCUAAGGACCCAAG